rnacentral:rRNA from 1 species
AGUGGCGAACGGGUGAGUAACACGUGACCAACCUGCCCCGCGCUCCGGGACAACCGCUGGAAACGGCGGCUAAUACCGGAUACUCCGGGAGGGCCCCAUGGCCCUGCCGGGAAAGCCGAGACGGCGCGGGAUGGGGUCGCAGCCCAUUAGGUAGACGGCGGGGUGACGGCCCACCAAGCCGACGAUCAGUAGCCGACCUGAGAGGGUGACCGGCCACAUUGGGACUGAGACACGGCCCAGACUCCUACGGGAGGCAGCAGUAGGGAAUCUUCCACAAUGGGCGAAAGCCUGAUGGAGCAACGCCGCGUGGGUGAAGAAGGUCUUCGGAUCGUAAAACCCUGUCGUUAGAGAAGAAAGUGCGUGAGAGUAACUGUUCACGUUUCGACGGUAUCUAACCAGAAAGCCACGGCUAACUACGUGCCAGCAGCCGCGGUAAUACGUAGGUGGCAAGCGUUAUCCGGAUUUAUUGGGCGUAAAGGGAACGCAGGCGGUCUUUUAAGUCUGAUGUGAAAGCCUUCGGCUUAACCGGAGUAGUGCAUUGGAAACUGGGAGACUUGAGUGCAGAAAAGGAGAGUGGAACUCCAUGUGUAGCGGUGAAAUGCGUAGAUAUAUGGAAGAACACCAGUGGCGAAAGCGGCUCUCUGGUCUGUAACUGACGCUNANGUUCGAAAGCGUGGGUAGCAAACAGGAUUAGAUACCCUGGUA